UAACUUAGUGGCGAACGGGUGAGUAACACGUGAGGAACCUGCCCUGGAGUGGGGGACAACAGUUGGAAACGACUGCUAAUACCGCAUAAGCCCACAGCACCGCAUGGUGCAGAGGGAAAAGGAGCAAUUCGCUUCAGGAUGGCCUCGCGUCCAAUUAGGUAGAUGGUGAGGUAACGGCCCACCAUGCCGACGAUUGGUAGCCGGACUGAGAGGUUGAACGGCCACAUUGGGACUGAGACACGGCCCAGACUCCUACGGGAGGCAGCAGUGGGGAAUAUUGCACAAUGGGGGAAACCCUGAUGCAGCGACGCCGCGUGGAGGAAGAAGGUUUUCGGAUUGUAAACUCCUGUCUUCGGGGACGAUAAUGACGGUACCCGAGGAGGAAGCCACGGCUAACUACGUGCCAGCAGCCGCGGUAAAACGUAGGUGGCAAGCGUUGUCCGGAAUUACUGGGUGUAAAGGGAGCGCAGGCGGGUCGGCAAGUUGGAGGUGAAAGCUGUGGGCUCAACUCACAAACUGCCUUCAAAACUGCCGAUCUUGAGUGGUGUAGAGGUAGGCGGAAUUCCCGGUGUAGCGGUGGAAUGCGUAGAUAUCGGGAGGAACACCAGUGGCGAAGGCGGCCUACGGGGCACUAACUGACGCUGAGGCUCGAAAGCAUGGGUAGCAAACAGGAUUAGAUACCCUGGUAGUCCAUGCCGUAAACGAUGGUUACUAGGUGUGGGAGGAUUGACCCCUUCCGUGCCGCAGUUAACACCAUAAGUAAUCCACCUGGGGAGUACGACCGCAAGGUUGAAACUCAAAGGAAUUGACGGGGGCCCGCACAAGCAGUGGAGUAUGUGGUUUAAUUCGAAGCAACGCGAAAAACCUUACCAGGUCUUGACAUCCGACGCAUAGUGCAGAGAUGCAUGAAGUCCUUCGGGACGUCGAGACAGGUGGUGCAUGGUUGUCGUCAGCUCGUGUCGUGAGAUGUUGGGUUAAGUCCCGCAACGAGCGCAACCCUUAUCGUCAGUUACUACGCAAGAGGACUCUGGCGAGACUGCCGUUGACAAAACGGAGGAAGGUGGGGAUGACGUCAAAUCAUCAUGCCCUUUAUGACCUGGGCUACACACGUAAUACAAUGGCGGUCAACAGAGGGAUGCAAAACCGUAAGGUGGAGCGAACCCCUAAAAGCCGUCUCAGUUCAGAAUGUGGGCUGCAACCCGCCCACAUGAAGUCGGAAUCGCUAGUAAUCGCGGAUCAGCAUGCCGCGGUGA
rnacentral:rRNA from 1 species